rnacentral:rRNA from 1 species
GCGCCAGACUCCUACGGGAGGCAGCAGUGAGGAAUAUUGGUCAAUGGGCGGAAGCCUGAACCAGCCAAGUCGCGUGAGGGAAGAAGGCCCUGCGGGUCGCAGACCUCUUUGGACGGGGAGCAAGGCCGCCGACGUGUCGGCGGAAGGAGAGUACCCGUAGAACAAGCAUCGGCUAACUCCGUGCCAGCAGCCGCGGUAAUACGGAGGAUGCGAGCGUUAUCCGGAUUUAUUGGGUUUAAAGGGUGCGCAGGCGGCACGGCAAGCCGGCGGUCAAAUAGCGGGGCUCAACCCCGUCGAGCCGUUUGAACUGGCGCGCUUGAGUUCAGGCGAGGUAGGCGGAAUUCGUGGUGUAGCGGUGAAAUGCAUAGAUAUCACGAAGAACUCCGAUUGCGAAGGCAGCUUACCAGUCUGCGACUGACGCUCAGGCACGAAAGUGUGGGUAUCGAACAGGAUUAGAUACCCGCGUAUG